CUCGUAGGUGGCCAACUAAGUCAGACGUGAAAUCCCUCGGCUUAACCGGGGAACUGCGUCUGAUACUGGAUGGCUUGAGUUCGGGAGAGGGAUGCGGAAUUCCAGGUGUAGCGGUGAAAUGCGUAGAUAUCUGGAGGAACACCGGUGGCGAAGGCGGCAUCCUGGACCGACACUGACACUGAGGAGCGAAAGCCAGGGGGGCAAACG
rnacentral:rRNA from 1 species